UGGUGAUAUUUUAUUGAUUCUUAAUAACUUUUUAGUUCCUUUAACUCAAUUUUGUGUGUAUUUAAGUUUUUUUAUUACAUUUUCAUACAUGUUUUCGGCUGGACUGCACAAUCUAAAAGUUUGGGCUGAAAUUGAGAAGAAUACAAAAGUACAAGGACCUAAGUUGCAAACAAAGAAAGUUGGACAAAACUCGUCGGCUUCAGAGGUGUGGAUGCAACGGAACAGUGGCAGCAGCAAAAAUGAAACAGAACGGUGGCAGCAGCAAGGAUGAAACGGAGGAUGACGCCGUGUAGAGCUUUGAAACGAGGCUUUGCUGCAGAGAUGUGCUGGUUUGUCGAAGAUCUCGUCUGGCUUCGGAGAUGUGCGGUUCCAUCGGAGAUCUCGUCGCACUUGUUCUCACAACUUCAAUAGCUUUUACAACUCUUAUUCAGACUGUAGUUAUCGAAGAUUUGAGGAAGAAGAUCAAGAAUAUUGAUUUUGUGAUUAUUGAAAAACGUAAAAGAACGAAUGGCUG
rnacentral:lncRNA from 1 species